UGUGAAAUUUCACAUGUGAAGUUUCACAUGUGAAACACAUAAUUUCACAUGUGAACAAUCACAUGUUCCAAAUUCACAUGUUCCAAAUUCACAUGUGAAAUUUCACAUGUGAAGUUUCACA
rnacentral:miRNA from 1 species